rnacentral:rRNA from 1 species
UACGGGGGAUGCAAGCGUUAUCCGGAAUGAUUGGGCGUAAAGCGUCUGUAGGUGGCUUUUUAAGUCCGCCGUCAAUCCCAGGGCUCAACCCUGGACAGGCGGUGGAAACUACCAAGCUGGAGUACGGUAGGGGCAGAGGGAAUUUCCGGUGGAGCGGUGAAAUGCGUAGAGAUCGGAAAGAACACCAACGGCGAAGCAACUCUGCUGGGCCGACACCACACUGAGAGACGAAAGCUAGGGGAGCGAAUGGG